rnacentral:rRNA from 1 species
UUGAGUUUGAAUCUGGCUCAGGACGAACGCUGGCGGCGUGCUUAACACAUGCAAGUCGAACGGUGAAGCUUGGAGCUUGCUUCGAGUGGAUCAGUGGCGAACGGGUGAGUAACACGUGAGCAACCUGCCCCAGACUCUGGAAUAAGCGCUGGAAACGGCGUCUAAUACUGGAUAUGUGACGGACCUGCAUGGGUACCGUCUGGAAAGUUUUUCGGUUUGGGAUGGGCUCGCGGCCUAUCAGCUUGUUGGUGAGGUAAUGGCUCACCAAGGCGACGACGGGUAGCCGGCCUGAGAGGGCGACCGGCCACACUGGGACUGAGACACGGCCCAGACUCCUACGGGAGGCAGCAGUGGGGAAUAUUGCACAAUGGGCGAAAGCCUGAUGCAGCGACGCCGCGUGAGGGAUGACGGCCUUCGGGUUGUAAACCUCUUUCAGCAGGGAAGAAGCGAAAGUGACGGUACCUGCAGAAGAAGCACCGGCUAACUACGUGCCAGCAGCCGCGGUAAUACGUAGGGUGCGAGCGUUGUCCGGAAUUAUUGGGCGUAAAGAGCUUGUAGGCGGUUUGUCGCGUCUGCUGUGAAAAUCCGGGGCUCAACCCCGGACUUGCAGUGGGUACGGGCAGACUAGAGUGUGGUAGGGGAGACUGGAAUUCCUGGUGUAGCGGUGAAAUGCGCAGAUAUCAGGAGGAACACCGAUGGCGAAGGCAGGUCUCUGGGCCACUACUGACGCUGAGAAGCGAAAGCAUGGGGAGCGAACAGGAUUAGAUACCCUGGUAGUCCAUGCCGUAAACGUUGGGCGCUAGGUGUGGGACUCAUUCCACGAGU